rnacentral:rRNA from 1 species
CUACGGGCGGCAGCAGUGAGGAAUAUUGGUCAAUGGGCGCAAGCCUGAACCAGCCAUCCCGCGUGAAGGAAGACUGCCCUAUGGGUUGUAAACUUCUUUUGUAAAGGAAGAAAUUUAGCUACGUGUAGCUAAUUGCCUGUACUUUACGAAUAAGCACCGGCUAACUCCGUGCCAGCAGCCGCGGUAAUACGGAGGGUGCAAGCGUUAUCCGGAUUUAUUGUGUUUAAAGGGUGCGUAGGCGGAUAAUUAAGUCAGUGGUGAAAUCCUGCAGCUUAACUGUAGAACUGCCAUUGAUACUGAUAGUCUUGAGUGCGGUUGAGGUAGGCGGAAUGUGUAGUGUAGCGGUGAAAUGCUUAGAUAUUACACAGAACACCGAUUGCGUAGGCAGCUUACUAAGCCGUAACUGACGCUGAUGCACGAAAGCGUGGGUAGCGAACAGGAUUAGAUACCCCUGUAGUC